rnacentral:rRNA from 1 species
AUUGAACGCUGGCGGCAGGCCUAACACAUGCAAGUCGAGCGGAUGACGGGAGCUGCUCCUUGAUUCAGCGGCGGACGGGUGGGUAAUGCCUAGGAAUCUGCCUGGUAGGGGGGGGCAACGGUUCGAAAGGAACGCUAAUAACGCAUACGUCCUAAGGGAGAAAGCAGGGGACCUUUGGGCCUUGCGGCAUCAGAUGAGGCUAGGUCGGAUUAGCUAGUUGGUGGGGUAAUGGCUCACCAAGGCGACGAUCCGUAACUGGUCUGAGAGGAUGAUCAGUCACACUGGAACUGAGACACGGUCCAGACUCCUACGGGAGGCAGCAGUGGGGAAUAUUGGACAAUGGGCGAAAGCCUGAUCCAGCCAUGCCGCGUGUGUGAAGAAGGUCUUCGGAUUGUAAAGCACUUUAAGUUGGGAGGAAGGGCAGUAAGUUAAUACCUUGCUGUUUUGACGUUACCGACAGAAUAAGCACCGGCUAACUCUGUGCCAGCAGCCGCCGCAG